AGCCCAGACUCCUACGGGAGGCAGCAGUGGGGAAUAUUGCACAAUGGUGGAAACCCUGAUGCAGCGACGCCGCGUGAGCGAUGAAGGAUUUCGGUCUGUAAAGCUCUAUCAGCAGGGAAGAAAAUGACGGUACCUGACUAAGAAGCCCCGGCUAACUACGUGCCAGCAGCCGCGGUAAUACGUAGGGGGCAAGCGUUAUCCGGAUUUACUGGGUGUAAAGGGAGCGUAGACGGCGGUGCAAGCCAGAUGUGAAAGCCCGGGGCUCAACCCCGGGACUGCAUUUGGAACUGUGCUGCUAGAGUGUCGGAGAGGCAGGCGGAACUCCUAGUGUAGCGGUGAAAUGCGUAGAUAUUAGGAGGAACACCAGUGGCGAAGGCGGCCUGCUGGACGAUGACUGACGUUGAGGCUCGAAAGCGUGGGGAGCAAACAGGAUUAGAUACCCUAGUAAC
rnacentral:rRNA from 1 species